rnacentral:rRNA from 1 species
AUUGAACGCUGGCGGCAGGCUUAACCCAUGCAAGUCGAGCGGAGAUGAGGUGCUUGCACCUUAUCUUAUCGGCGGACGGGUGAGUAAUGCUUAGGAAUCUGCCUAUUAGUGGGGGACAACAUUCCGAAAGGAAUGCUAAUACCAUAUCCGUCAUACGGGAAAAAGCAGGGGAUCUUCGGACCUUGUGCGACUAGAUGAGCCUAAGUCGGAUUAGUGAGUGGGUGGGGUAAAGGCCUACCAAGGGGACGAUUUGUACCGGGUUUGCAAGGAUGCUCCGCCACACUGGGACUGGAAGACGGCCAAGAAUCCUACGGGAGGGAGCAGUUGGGAAUAUUGGACAAAGGGGGAAACCCUGAUCCAGCCAUGCCGGGUGUGUGAAGAAGGCCUUAUGGUUGUAAAGCACUUUAAGCGAGGAGGAGGCUACUGAGACUAAUACUCUUGGAUAGUGGACGUUACUCGCAGAAUAAGCACCGGCUAACUCUGUGCCAGCCGCCGCGGUAA